rnacentral:rRNA from 1 species
UACGUAGGGGGCGAGCGUUGUCCGGAUUUAUUGGGCGUAAAGAGCUUGUAGGCGGUCUGUCGCGUCUGCUGUGAAAAUCCGGGGCUCAACCCCGGACUUGCAGUGGGUACGGGCAGACUAGAGUGUGGUAGGGGGAGACUGGAAUUCCUGGUGUAGCGGUGAAAUGCGCAGAUAUCAGGAGGAACACCGAUGGCGAAGGCAGGUCUCUGGGCCACUACUGACGCUGGAGAAGCGAAAGCAUGGGGAGCGAACAGG